GACGAACCGUGCGAACGUUAUUCGGAAUCACUGGGCUUAAAGGGCGCGUAGGCGGGCCACCAAGUCAGGGGUGAAAUCCCACGGCUCAACCGUGGAAGUGCCUCUGAUACUUGUGGCCUCGAGGGGUGCAGGGGCGUGCGGAACUCAGGGUGGAGCGGUGAAAUGCGUAGAUAUCUGGAGGAACACCGGUGGCGAAGGCGGCAUCCUGGACCGGUAUUGACGCUGAUGCGCGAAAGCCAGGGGAGCAAACGGG
rnacentral:rRNA from 1 species